rnacentral:lncRNA from 1 species
AUGUCAUUCUAAUUUGGUAUUCCUUCUCUUGGAAAGCAAAAAGGGUCAGCCUUACAGCCCGGUUCUCCCUUGAGGCCAGAACCAAUUUCUCCCUUGGACAGAGUUGGAAGAGAAAACUGAGGCUCUGAGUGGCACAUCUUGAGCUCUGGGAGGUAGUGGCAGUAAAGGAUCUGCUCUAAAAAACGAAUCCACAUUCAUCAGAGAUCCCAGCCUCUUGGAGAUAGGACUGACAAGAAGCCUUAUCAAGUUAAUGUUACUGAAGGAAUAGAGAUUGGCUCUCAAAUCUUACCCACUGCAGAUACUAAGUGAUAGUUCAUGGAGUUACCCCUGCAAAAGUUGAGGAGUGAUUGCAGAUAUGAUUUAACUCAAUGCCCUUCUUGGACCUGGGCUUUUGGAGGAAACAUCCAGUCUUCUUAUGUUUCUAUCACUAGAAAUCACAGUCUCCUUUGGAGGUGAGAGGAUUCCAAAUUCCAGAAAUAUCUAUCCUUCAUACCUACGAGAUGGUGCAAAGCUGGGAGGCAGAGCGACUACGAUGGAUGAAAGUAUUAAACAUCCUAACAGCAGAACAGAACAACGGCUGGAUAGAAUAAAAGGAAAUGUAAGAUAUAAAUACACGUAAAGUCUUACAAUUGGUUAAAAACCCAACAUCACAAAUAAGAGAUGGGGGAGGCAAGGCUGGACAGUGGUUUGUAGGAAAGGAAUCUGGGAGUUUUAAUAGACUGUCAAAGCUUAAUUCGAG